CAGUAGCCGCGGGAAUACCGAGGAUGCAAGCGUUAUCCGGAAUGAUUGGGCGUAAAGCGUCUGUAGGUGGCUUUUCAAGUCCGCCGUCAAAUCCCAGGGCUCAACCCUGGACAGGCGGUGGAAACUACCAAGCUGGAGUACGGUAGGGGCAGAGGGAAUUUCCAGUGGAGCGGUGAAAUGCGUUGAGAUCGAAAAGAACACCAACAGCGAAAGCACUCUGCUGGGACGACACUGACACUAAGAGACGAAAGCUAGGGGAGCAAAUGGGAUUAGAUACCCGUGUAGUCCCUGUCUCUUAUAA
rnacentral:rRNA from 1 species